AUGCGAUACGUAGUGUGAAUUGCAGAAUUCAGUGAAUCAUCGAAUCUUUGAACGCACAUUGCGCCCUUUGGUAUUCCAAAGGGCAUGCCUGUUCGAGCGUCAUUUGUACCCUCAAGCUUUGCUUGGUGUUGGGCGUCUUUUGUCUCCAGUUCGCUGGAGACUCGCCUUAAAGUCAUUGGCAGCCGGCCUACUGGUUUCGGAGCGCAGCACAAGUCGCGCUCUUCGCCAGCCAAGGUCAGCGUCCAGCAAGCCUUUUUUUCAACCUUUGACCUCGGAUCAGGUAGGGAUACCCGCUGAACUUAA
rnacentral:misc_RNA from 1 species